UACGUAGGGUGCAAGCGUUAAUCGGAAUUACUGGGCGUAAAGCGUGCGCAGGCGGCUUUGCAAGACAGAUGUGAAAUCCCCGGGCUUAACCUGGGAACUGCAUCUGUGACUGCAUAGCUAGAGUACGGUAGAGGGGGAUGGAAUUCCGCGUGUAGCAGUGAAAUGCGUAGAUAUGCGGAGGAACACCGAUGGCGAAGGCAAUCCCCUGGGCCUGCACUGACGCUCAUGCACGAAAGCGUGGGGAGCAAACAGG
rnacentral:rRNA from 1 species